rnacentral:rRNA from 1 species
UACAGAGGGUGCGAGCGUUAAUCGGAAUUACUGGGCGUAAAGCGCGCGUAGGCGGCUUUGCAAGUCGGGUGUGAAAUCCCCAGGCUUAACCUGGGAACUGCAUUCGAGACUGGAUUGCUAGAGUAUGGGAGAGGGAAGUGGAAUUUCCGGUGUAGCGGUGAAAUGCGUAGAUAUCGGAAGGAACAUCAGUGGCGAAAGCGACUUCCUGGACCAAUACUGACGCUCGUGUGCGAAAGCGUGGGGAGCAAACAGG